rnacentral:lncRNA from 1 species
AGAAUUGAUACAUUCCGGAAGGAGGGGGUUCUGUCAGCAGUGGAUUCCCAGAGAAAGGAUUCCUGGCCAAUGUGCAAUUCAUUACUCAUAGGUCAUCAAGACUAUACUGCUGCAAGGGACCAGUACCAAGACACAGCAUAGUUUUUGCC